ACAUAGAAGUAAAUUAUUACACUUAGUUUCGACCUAAUUUUAAGGCUAGACCUCAUGUUUAAUUGA
rnacentral:tRNA from 1 species